UCCCGGCUCAGAAUCAACGCUGGCGGCGCGCCUAACACAUGCAAGUCGAACGAGAAAGUGGAGCAAUCCAUGAGUACAGUGGCGUACGGGUGAGUAACACGUGGGUGAUCUACCUCUUAGUGAGGAAUAACCCUGGGAAACCGGGGCUAAUACCGCAUAAGCCUGAGAAGGGAAAGCAGCAAUGCGCUGAGAGAGGAGCCCGCGGCCGAUUAGCUAGUUGGUGAGGUAAGAGCCCACCAAGGCAGAGAUCGGUAGCCGGCCUGAGAGGGCACACGGCCACACUGGCACUGAAACACGGGCCAGACUCCUACGGGAGGCAGCAGUGGGGAAUCUUGCACAAUGGGGGAAACCCUGAUGCAGCGACGCCGCGUGAGCGAUGAAGCCCUUCGGGGUGUAAAGCUCUUUCGUCAGGGAAGAUUAUGACGGUACCUGGAGAAGCAGCUGCGGCUAACUACGUGCCAGCAGCCGCGGUAAUACGUAGGCAGCAAGCGUUGUUCGGAGUUACUGGGCGUAAAGGGUGUGUAGGCGGUUCUUUAAGUUUGGUGUGAAAUCUCCCGGCUCAACCGGGAGGGUGCGCCGAAUACUGAGGGACUAGAGUGUGGGAGAGGAAAGUGGAAUUCCUGGUGUAGCGGUGAAAUGCGUAGAUAUCAGGAGGAACACCGGUGGUGUAGACGGCUUUCUGGACCAUAACUGACGCUGAGACACGAAAGCGUGGGUAGCAAACAGGAUUAGAUACCCUGGUAGUCCACGCCCUAAACGAUGCAUAUUUGGUGUGGGUCAUUCAGUUGAUCCGUGCCGGAGCUAACGCGUUAAAUAUGCCGCCUGGGGAGUACAGUCGCAAGGCUGAAACUCAAAGGAAUUGACGGGGGCCCGCACAAGCG
rnacentral:rRNA from 1 species